GAGUUCAGCCUGCAGAGAUGGGAGCAGCGUUCUCGAAUGCUCAUGGGAAGAUUAAAUGGGACCCCGGCCAGGGAAAUACAUUCCUACUCAGUCUAUUCCUGUUUUGCAUCUCUUCUGUGGGCUUCAUGCCCAAUGUGGGGCUUGAACUCACAACCCUGGGAUCAAGUAUCAGAUGCUCUACCGACUGAGCCAGCCGGGCGCCCCCUCAUUUGUAUUGUUCUUGAUGAAAAUGUCAGGAUUCAUCUAUUUUGAUGAGGAGUGUUCUUAUUAAAGGAGCCCCAUUGGAAUGUAUUUGUUAAUAUUCACAGAGUCUUAGACUUGAGUCUCAUUGCAUCUGAUGGUAUAAUGUGCCCUUCUGUGAUCCAAACCCCGUGGCCAACAAAUGCAGCGCUCUAACCGAGGAACUGGAAACUGCAGCCCACGGACCAAAUCCAGUUUGUUUUCUGGUU